rnacentral:tRNA from 1 species
GGAAGAGUGGCCAAGUGGAAAGGGCACGGGCCAGGGAGUAAGAAGCCCUGGGUUCUAAUCCCGGCUCCACCA